GACGAACGCUGGCGGCGUGCUUAACACAUGCAAGUCGAACGGAAAGGCCUCUUUCGGGGGGUACUCGAGUGGCGAACGGGUGAGUAACACGUGAGUAACCUGCCCCUGACUUUGGGAUAACUUCCGAAAACUGGGGCUACUACCGGACAGAAGCUCCUGUCCGACGGUGGGGGGUGGAGAGUUUGGGUGGCUGGGGGGGGAGUCGCGGGUUUUCCGCGUGUUUGUGGGGUAGUGGAUUACCAAGGAUUUGGCUGGUCACUGGCCGGGGCGGGUGGCCGGCCACAUUGGGACUGAGAGAGGGCCCAGACACCUACGGGAGGGAGGAGGGAGGAAGAUUGCACAAUGGGUGGGAGCCAGAUGCAGCAACGCCGGGUGCGGGAAGACAGCCGUCGGGUUGUAAGCCGCUUUCGCUCAUGACGGAGCAUUGUGUGACGGUAGUUGGUGAAGAAGCACCGGCUAACUACGUG
rnacentral:rRNA from 1 species